rnacentral:rRNA from 1 species
GACGAACGCUGGCGGCGUGCUUAACACAUGCAAGUCGAACGAAGUGGCGAACGGGUGAGUAACGCGUAAUCAACCUGCCCUUCAGAGGGGGACACCAGUUGGAAACGACUGCUAAUACAGCAUACUGAAGGAGGGGAUUGCGUCGGAUUAGCUAGUUGGCGGGGUAACGGCCCACCAAGGCGAUGAUCAGUAGGCGGGUGGAGAGGAUGAACGGCCACAGUGGGACGGAGACACGGCCCAGACUCCUACGGGAGGCAGCAAGGGGGAAUCUUCCGCAAUUGACGAAAGUCUUACGGAGCAACGCCGCGGGAGUGAUGACGGCCUUCGGGUUGUAAAGCUCUGUUAAUCGGGACGCGGUACCGGAAUAGAAAGCCACGGCUAACUACGUGCCAGCAGCCGCGGUAAUUC